rnacentral:rRNA from 1 species
ACGAACGCUGGCGGCGCGCCUAACACAUGCAAGUCGAACGAGAGAGAGGGAGCUUGCUUCCUUGAUCAAGUGGCGAACGGGUGAGUAACGCGUGAGGAACCUGCCUCAAAGAGGGGGACAACAGUUGGAAACGACUGCUAAUACCGCAUGACGCAUAGAGGUCGCAUGAUCUUUAUGCCAAAGAUUUAUCGCUUCAAGAUGGCCUCGCGUCUGAUUAGCUAGUUGGCGGGGUAACGGCCCACCAAGGCGACGAUCGGUAGCCGGACUGAGAGGUUGAACGGCCACAUUGGGACUGAGACACGGCCCAGACUCCUACGGGAGGCAGCAGUGGGGAAUAUUGCACAAUGGGGGAAACCCUGAUGCAGCGACGCCGCGUGGAGGAAGAAGGUCUUCGGAUUGUAAACUCCUGUUGUUGAGGAAGAUAAUGACGGUACUCAACAAGGAAGUGACGGCUAACUACGUGCCAGCAGCCGCGGUAAAACGUAGGUCACAAGCGUUGUCCGGAAUUACUGGGUGUAAAGGGAGCGCAGGCGGGCGAUCAAGUUGGAAGUGAAAUCCAUGGGCUCAACCCAUGAACUGCUUUCAAAACUGGUCGUCUUGAGUAGUGCAGAGGUAGGCGGAAUUCCCGGUGUAGCGGUGGAAUGCGUAGAUAUCGGGAGGAACACCAGUGGCGAAGGCGGCCUACUGGGCACCAACUGACGCUGAGGCUCGAAAGUGUGGGUAGCAAACAGGAUUAGAUACCCUGGUAGUCCACACCGUAAACGAUGAUUACUAGGUGUUGGGAGAUUGACCCUCUCAGUGCCGCAGUUAACACAAUAAGUAAUCCACCUGGGGAGUACGACCGCAAGGUUGAAACUCAAAGGAAUUGACGGGGGCCCGCACAAGCAGUGGAGUAUGUGGUUUAAUUCGACGCAACGCGAAGAACCUUACCAAGUCUUGACAUCCUCUGACGAACGUAGAAAUACGUUUUCUCUUCGGAGCAGAGAGACAGGUGGUGCAUGGUUGUCGUCAGCUCGUGUCGUGAGAUGUUGGGUUAAGUCCCGCAACGAGCGCAACCCUUAUGGUCAGUUACUACGCAAGAGGACUCUGGCCAGACUGCCGUUGACAAAACGGAGGAAGGUGGGGAUGACGUCAAAUCAUCAUGCCCUUUAUGACUUGGGCUACACACGUACUACAAUGGCGUUAAACAAAGAGAAGCAAGACCGCGAGGUGGAGCAAAACUCAGAAACAACGUCCCAGUUCGGACUGCAGGCUGCAACUCGCCUGCACGAAGUCGGAAUUGCUAGUAAUCGUGGAUCAGCAUGCCACGGUGAAUACGUUCCCGGGCCUUGUACACACCGCCCGUCACACCAUGAGAGCCGGGGGGACCCGAAGUCGGUAGUCUAACCGCAAGGAGGACGCCGCCGAAGGUAAAACUGGUGAUUGGGGUG